rnacentral:tRNA from 1 species
GGUUGUGGGUCAGUGGUAAGAGUGUUUGCCUAGCAUGCUUGAGACACUGGGUUUGAUCCCCAGCACAGCA